rnacentral:ncRNA from 1 species
UAUAGGAAAGUUUUAUUAUGGCUUAAAUAAUUUGGUGAUUGAUAAUUACACAUGCGGGAAUUGGGCUAGAGGAUGGUUGUGAAUCGGUGUGCAGUGAUUGAAUUUAAUAAUUAAGAGGACUUAGAAUUAGAUAUUUAAAAAUGUACAGACAAAUCUUGUGCCAGCAGUUGCGGUUAAACAUGAUGUACUUCUGAAUUUGAUUCGGGUGAUAGUUAUCUUUUUGUUUUUUUGAUAAUAGUUGAUUGUAUAAGGUGAAAUUUUAUAAUUAAUUAAAUUUAUUAAGGAGAGAGAUUCUAUUAGAUUACAGUACUAAACUAGGAUUAGAUACCCUAUUAUUUGUAAUGUAAAUUUGUACUCCUGAGAAGUAUUAGUAUAAUCUUAAAAUUUAAAGAAUUUGGCGGUGUUUUAGUCUAUUUAGAGGAACCUGUCCUGUGAUUGAUAAUCCACGAUUAAUUGAACUUAUUCUUUAAAUUUGUAUAUCGUCGUUAUUUGAAUAUCUUUGGAGGGGUUAAUGUUCAGGAUAUACAAUUAUAUAUUAAAUCAGAUCAAGGUGCAGUUAAUGGGUAAGGAGAGAUGGGUUACAAUAGAUUUAUUUAUAUGGUUUGAGGAAUGAGAUUUCUUUGAUAAAUUGGAUUUGAUAGUAAGGUGAAUGAUUUAAUUUAUUUGAUUUUAGCUCUAGAAUAUGCACAUAUCGCCCGUCACUCCCACCAUAAGGUGGGAUAAGUCGUAACAUAGUAGGUGUACCGGAAGGUGUACCUAGAAA